rnacentral:misc_RNA from 1 species
GAAGUUAAUUUCCAGAGAAAUUGUCCAGAGGCACUGAGAUGCACUCAUAACAAGCUAGCAUUUCACUUCAUUCUUGGUUGGAUGUAUAUGUAAUUAUGUAUAAGUCUCCAAAGUCAUACAAGAACAGUAUCUAUAAUGUAUUUAACUGUAAUACAUAGCUCAGGGACACGUCCAUUUUAGUUAACCAUAACCCAAUGUUUGAAAAUAUGUGGAAAGUACUAAACAAUCAAACUACUUUCUGUUAACCCUUUAAAAAUAAUCUCCUUUUCAAGUAAUCCCUCAACAAAGAAAUUAAAAAAAAAAAAGUAGAUUCUGAUUCUUUUAAAUAAGAUGAGU